GAUGAAGAACGUAGCGAAAUGCGAUAACUAAUGUGAAUUGCAGAAUUCCGUGAAUCAUCGAGUCUUUGAACGCACAUUGCGCCCCCUGGUAUUCCGGGGGGCAUGCCUGUCCGAGCGUCAUUACAACCCUCAAGCCCGGCUUGUGUAAUGGGCGGCCGUCUCUCCCCCCGGGGGGAGACGCCCCCGAAACUCAGUGGGGAUGUCGCGAUACCGAAGCCUCAGCUAAUGGGUAAACCACAGCUGCAAUGGCCGCGGCCGGCGUCCGCCUUCCACGGUCCGUCCGCCUAGCGCGGGCGGCCUUCUCAAGGUUGACCUCGGAUCAGGUAGGGAUACCCGCUGAACUUAAGCAUAUAAUAAGCGGAGGA
rnacentral:misc_RNA from 1 species